rnacentral:rRNA from 1 species
CCCUUAGAUGUUCUGGGCCGCACGCGCGCUACACUGAUGCAUUCAACGAGCCUAGCCUUGACCGAGAGGUCCGGGUAAUCUUUGAAACUGCAUCGUGAUGGGGCUAGAUUAUUGCAAUUAUUAAUCUUCAACGAGGAAUGCCUAGUAAGCGUGAUUCAUCAAAUCGCGUUGAUUACGUCCCUGCCCUUUGUACACACCGCCCGUCGCUCCUACCGAUUGAGUGUGUUGGUGAGGAGUUCGGAUUGGCUCUUAGCGGUGGUUCGCCACCACCUAGAGCUGAGAAGUUCUCCAAACCGCCCCACUUAGAGGAAGGAGAAGUCGUAACA